UCGGCAAGAAAUCUUUGUUGGUGUUUUGAUUUUUUUGGAAAGGGUGUGUGUGCGAGUUCAAAAUUGGAAUACUUAAUCCAAUGCAAAAUUAUGCUUCACGACUCUGUACUCAUAAUCCAAUUUGUUAGGAGUAAAUUCCUUGAACUGACUGAUCCAUGGCCUUAGGCGGAAUCCCUUUUUGACUCCGAGUAGCAUGGGGCACGUGGAAUCCCGUGUGAAUCAGCAAGGACCACCUUGCAAGGCUAAAUACUCCUAGGUGACCGAUAGCGAAGUAGUACCAUGAGGGAAAGGUCAAAAGAACCCCCAAGGCA
rnacentral:ncRNA from 1 species